rnacentral:rRNA from 1 species
ACGGCCACACCAAGGCGAAAACACCAGUUCCCGUCCGACCACUGCAGUUAAGCGUCUGAGGGUCUCGUUAGUACUAUGGUUGGAGACAACAUGGGAAUCCGGGAUGCUGUAGGCU